rnacentral:lncRNA from 13 species
AUGGGUUUUAAUAACCCUUUGAAACUUAGAUGUACUAAAGACACGAAUCCUAGUCUCCACUUUUCCGUUUUAUUUCAGAUUUUUCUUGUUGGAAACUCUUCAAGUUCACGAAAUUCUUCAGAAAAUGACACUUCAAAUCUGGACACAGAUCAUCUAUUUAAGGAGGCAUUGAUAAAGAAUAGGGGAAAAAAUUGCAAGUGGCCUCACAUGACUCAACAACUCAGGAGAGAACACAUUUUCCAACCAAGUUCAUACAGUUGUCAUCACUAACAAACAGCCCCACAGUAAUCUCAAAUUCCAGCAUUUAUUUUGUGAGAGAGAAGAUAAAUUGGAAAGAUACAAUCAUCAUUACUCAUCUACCUUGCUGGGGUUUCCAUCUUUUUUGCUCCAGUUUCUUCCUCCGCAGGCACAUUGGAAGAUGGAUGUUGGAUGGUUUGCUAGAUUCAUUUUGAGAAAUCACUGAUUGGGAGAUUAAAACUGACAUUUAUUUUUGCUUCUAUAAUGGCUGAAUUUUGAGGUACCUAAGGAUUGAAGUACUUUAAGAGUGAGUGGCUCUUAAAAGCCCCUGAAAAUUUGUGAGGCUAAUUGUAUCUCCCAUGGUUUUACCCAUAAUCUGAAUUUGGCAGAUUUUUCUCUCAGCAGAAAGCCUGUUCCUCAGAAACAAUAUAGAUGGGCACAAUGGGUAGAUCAUUAAAUUAUUCUCCAUGAUCCUCAGAGCCAGGAUUAUUACACCAAAGAAUGAAGAUUCUUGUACUUCAUGCUAUAGCUACUGCAGUCUCCAGAUGCACUCACUGCACCUAAGAAAUUGGAGCCGAGAGAGAGAUUCAAGAUGGUGUGGUAAGAACAACCCAGGAUUGUAGCUCUCAGUGAACGUGCAGAGGGUAAGUCAAAGCCGCAUUUCCAGACAGAUCUUUGUUGCCCACAGAACGGGGAAAUUCCCAGGUGUAGGAGAGACACGGGAUGCCAGCGCAGCUGUUUUGGCUGGUGAGGCUGCUUCAGCUGGCGCCACAGUGCAGCGGCACUCCACAACACACCGCACAAAACGCACUACUCCAGGUGCCCUGUUAAACCGGCAAUCUGAGACUUGGGAGGGCAGAUUAGCAUAUCCAUCUGAUUAAACAGGAUUUGGACACUGAGCCAGACCAGGAGAUUCCUGGGAAGCAGCGUUUGAGCCAGCACAGUGGGUCCCUGCAUGGGAAAUCACACAGAUCCCAGUGCCCUAACAGCAGCCAACUGAAAUACCUGGGAAAGAGUCAACUAUUCAACUUAAAAAAAAAAAGGCACUCUGAGGCAGGGAGCCAGGGGAGCAGGCUCGGUGGGUUUCACCCCCACAGGGACAAACAAAACGGUGAUUCGAAACACUCUGGGUGGAGAGUUUUACUGCAGGCACAGCUGAACCCAGGAUGGUGCAGCUCGGUGGGGGAGGGGUGUCUGCCAUUACCGAGGCAAUCUGCUCCUACUGAGGUACACUCCCAUUGCUGAUGCAGUCUGCCAUUGUGGCUGAUGCAACCCUCUAUAACAGAGAAACUCCGCCGCAGAAUGGAGCCUGUGGCAGCAGGGCAGAGACUGUGGCAGCAGGGUACAGCCCACAGCAACAGGGUGGACCCCACACCAGCAGGGUGGAGCCUCGGCAGGAAAAUAGUGACUAGACUGCCUCCUAGCUGGGUAGGACAGUGCAACAGACACUCAUAAAGAAAGCCCCAACCCCCGAAACAGAGCAUCUGAGGAAAAAAAAGGUUUUAUGAGUUCUGCUGCAGCAGCCUUAAAUGUACCUGCCUAACAGCCCUGAAUGAACAACAGAGCUCACAGCUCAGCACUUGAGCUCCUGUCUCCUCAAGCAGCUCUCUGACCCCUGUAUAUCCAAAAAGUCAUCACAAAAAAGACUGAUCAGACUGACAUUUGGUGGGCAUCAGUCUGGGACAAAGAUAGCAGAAGAAGAAACUGGUAGCAUCCCUCACUGUUCUGCAGCUGCUACAGGCAUAUCCCAGACAAGCAGGGCCUGGAGUGGACCUCAGCAGUUGUACAGCGGAGGGGCUAGACUGGUAGAAGGAAAACCAAGAAACAGAAAUACAUCAUCAUCAACAAUCUGGGCAUCCACUCAGACACCCAAUCGAAAAGUCAGCAAGUACUCAGACGACAGGUGGAUAAAUCCACAAAGAUGGGAAGAAACCAGCGCAAAAAGGAGGAAAACACCCAAAAGCAGAACACCUUACCUCCUACAAAGGACCAAAACUCCUCACCAGCAAGGGAACAAAGCUGGAGAAAGAAGGACUGUGACAAAAUGACGGAAUUAGACUUCAGAAGGUGUAAUGAGAACCUUCUGUGAGCUAAAAGAACAUGUUUUAAAUCAAUGCAAAGAAACUAAGAACCUUGAAAAAAGAUUUGAAAAAAGAUUCGAGGAAAUGAUAACAAGAAUGGAUAACUUAGAGAGGAAUAUGAAUGAAUUGAAGGAGCUGAAAAACACAACACGAGAACUUCGCGAAGCAUGCACAAGUUUCAACAGCUGAAUUGACCAAGCAGAAGAAAGAAUAUCAGAAGCCAAAGAUCAACUCAAUGAAAUAAAGCAAGAAACCAAAAUUAGAAAAAAGCA